AUGGCCACCGGGCUCCUCUGCUGGGUGGCCCUUUGUCUCCUGCGAGUAGAGCCCACACAUGCUGGGGUCACCCAGACACCCAGGCACGAGGUCACAGAGACGGGACAAGACGUAACUCUGAGUUGUGAGCCAAUUUCCAGUCAUACCUAUCUUUACUGGGACAGACAGACCUCGGUGAAGGGACUAGAGUUUAUGAUUUAUUUCGGCAGCCAAACUGUCGUAGACGACACAGGGAUGCCCAAGAAGCGGUACUCAGCUCAGAUGCCUAAUGCUUCGUUCUCCACUCUGAAGAUCCAGUCCACAGAGCCGGGGGACUCAGCCGUGUGCCUCUGUGCCAGCAGCUUCGCCCCAGCGCUGCACAGUCGCCCCCUCCCUGUGCAGAAACCUCCUGCUUCCCCUGCUCUCAUUGGCCACCAGGGGUCCUGA